rnacentral:misc_RNA from 1 species
UCUGGCUUAUAGCCCAGCGGUCCCUCCAGAGUGCUUCGAACUCUCGUCCGAUUGGCAACAGGACACAAGGGUUGCGCUCGUUGCGGGACUUAACCCAACAUCUCACGACACGAGCUGACGACAGCCAUGCAGCACCUGUGUACGCUGGUAUUGCUACCUCGUCAGGCUUUCACCCUUCUACUACGUACAUGUCAAGGCCAGGUAAGGUUCUUCGCGUUGCAUCGAAUUAAGCCACAUACUCCACCGCUUGUGCAGGCCCCCGUCAAUUUCUUUGAGUUUUAAUCUUGCGACCGUACUUCCCAGGCGGCGCAUUUAACGCGUUAGCUUCGCCACGAAAGGGGUCGAAUCCUCUCACAGCAAAUGCGCACCGUUUACGGCUAGGACUAC